CAACUCGCCUACACGAAGUCGGAAUCGCUAGUAAUCGCGGAUCAGCAUGCCGCGGUGAAUACGUUCCCGGGCCUUGUACACACCGCCUGUCACACCAUGGGAGUUUGUAACGCCCAAAGUCGGUGGCCUAACCUUUAUGGAGGGAGCCGCCUAAGGCGGGACAGAUGACUGGGGUGAAGUCGUAACAAGGUAUC
rnacentral:rRNA from 1 species